rnacentral:tRNA from 1 species
AGGGGUGUAGUUCAGUUGGUAGAACGGCGGUCUCCAAAACCGCAUGUCGCGGGUUCAAGUCCUUCCGCCCCUG